GCACACGCCUUUAAUCCCAGCACUCAGGAGGCAGAGGCAGGAGGAUUUCUGAGUUCAAGGCCAGCCUGGUCUACAAAGUGAGUUCCAGGACAGCCAGGGCUAUAUAGAGAAACCCUGUCUCGAAAAACCAAAAAAAAAAAAAAAAAAAAAAAAAAAAAAAAAAAAAAGAAUUACAGGGAUGGAAAUGGAGAGGAGCCUGAGGAAAAGAAGGCCCAAAGUGGGAUCCAGCUCAAGGGGAGAUCCCAAGGCCUGAGGCUAUAGAGCACUCACAAAAAGGGAUCUAUCAUGACUGCCCUCCGAAAGACCCAACAAGCAGCUGAAAGAGUCAGAUGCAGAUAUUUGCACCCAACCAAUGGACAGAAGCAGCUGACCCCUGUUGUUGAAUUAGGGAAGGCUGGAAGAAGCUGAGGAGAAGGAAGAUCCUGUAGGAGGACCAGCAGUCUCAAUUAAUCUGGGCCCCUGAGAUCUUUCAAACACUGGACCACCAAACAGACAGCAUACAGAAGCUGAUAUGAGGCCCCCAACACAUAUACAGUAGAGGACUGCAGAGUCUGUGUUUAUUCAGAGAUGAUGCACCUAAUCCUCAAGAGACUGGAGGCCCCAGGGAGUUUAGAGGUCAGGUUUGGUAGGGGUGUGGGGGUAUCCACGUGGAGACAUGGUGGGUGGGGAGGAGGUAUGGGAUGUGGAGCAGAUGGAGGUUGGAUGGGGGGUGGGGAAUGGAAUAUGGAGUGUAAAAAAUGAAUUAAAAAUAAAACAAAACAAAACAAACAAAACUGGCACAAUCAUCAUGAAUGUUUAUGGGUUACACCAAGUCAUUUUGAUACAAGUAUUCCAUGCUUAAUAGCUAAGUCAGGGCAGCUAAAAUAUCUCAACUAUUUAUCAUUUUUUAUGUUGUAAAUAUUCAAAAUGCUUUCUCUUAGCUAUUUUAAGAUCUAUAAUACAUUAUUACUGUGCUAUCUCUACUGUGAUAUCUACUAUAACUUAUUUUAUCUAACCUUUUUACCAACAAUGUUCCUUUUCAUCUCCAUGCAAGCUCUGGCAGGUAAUAUUUUACUCUUUACUUUUGUGAGAUCAAGUUUUAAAACUUCCAUAUAUUAGUAAAAAUAUGUUGUAUUUAUUCAUUUACCAAAAGUUCUCCAGUUUUAUUAGUGUGGGCCUUUUGUUUUAAGUUUGUGGGCCUUUAGUGUAAGUUUGACAUGCUGACUUUAAUGUUUAUACAAAAUGCAAAGGGCUUAACAUAAUUGAUUUUGAGAAAAGAAAACCAAAACUAUAAUAAUUACUCUGACUUCAAAACUUGCUGUUAUGUGUGUGUCUGUGUAUUAUGUGUUUGUGUGUGUACUAAUGAUCUUCCUGCUUCAGCCUCUGGAAGGCUGUGCUACUUGAACAUGGAGAAUACAGAGGCAUUUGUCAUCAUGCCAACAACAAAACACUUCUUAUAUUAGAGACAUUUAUAUGUCCAUGAGUUUAGCAUAUUGAAUUAUAUAAUACAGACAUAUUUUAAAAAUUAAAAGGUAAUGAAAUAGUUUAAUAACUUAAUAUGGUAUUCAACUAUCAGAAGAGUGAAAUAUGUAUAGAAACAUUACUUUAUAAAUAUCUUUCAUAUCAUACACACAUGUGCAAACACAACCGAGCUUCUAAAUUUAAAAAGACAACAUAGCAAAAACAAAAGAAAAUAUACUGAAGGUUUAAUCACUCUUUUGGAUUACAAUGGCUUUUCUAAACAUAGAUCUUAAAGGAGGAACAGCAAAGAAGAGAAUAGUUUGUUCAUGAAAUUGAUAGAAAAUGAAAAUUUAAUCCCUAGUUCUCUAACUACUUACUGACUUUAAAUAACAUGACAAAACAUUUGUUAAAGGUGUAUUCUCGAGUGUAUAAUAAAGAUUUCAGCACCUUGCUGCCUAAGAUAUUUUAUCAGAAUGAGAGUGUUUGUUUUCUUUCAAUUUAAAUGAAUGAUAAAUGCUACACAUGAAGAUGAGUCACAGCUUAAGAGUACUCUUCUUUUUAUGACCAAUGAAUCUCUCAUGACUCUCUAUCUUCAAUAAUAUGUUCUUAACACAUAUUUACUCUUGGCUCAAGACUUACUCAGUAGCUACUGAAAGAAAGGUGUGUGCUAGGACAUAUGGUGUAGGAGGAACCACACUCUGAAGUCACAGGCAGGAUUAAGCUUGAGUCAUCUUGGAGCACCUAUACAUUUGGGCAGGCCAUUUAAUUUCUAUGAGCCUUAGUUUCUGUGUUAAUAAGGUAUGUUAAUAUCUUAGAAAACUGCUGUGAAUAUUAGGAGCAACCAAAUAUUUAUUGAGCUUCUACUCGUGAUUAUGUAUGUGUUUUCUGCAUGUAUGCCUGUACACUACAUAUGUAUGUGUAUGGUGUUCGCAGAGGCCAAAAGAUGACAUCACCUACUCUGGGACUCACAGAUCGUUGUGAGCUUCCACAUGGGUACUGGACAUUGAACUUAGGUCCUCUGGAGGAGCAGCCAGUGUCCUUAACUGCUGAGCCAUCACUCCAGCACUGGCCCCCGCAAUAUAUCAAAGAAUAUUUACAAAGAGUUCCAAAUACACAUUAGUACUGGGUGACAAAUAUGCUGCUCUCAAACAGUAGGAGUAGAGAAAGAAUAACAAAGCAAACCUAUGUUUGGAAAGGACAAAGUCUGGAGUCGGGGAAGAGGGAUCGGAGGAAAGCAAAGAAAGCUGAGAAAGUCAAGUUGGGCUUUAGGAGUCAGUAGGUAUUUGAAUCUACAGAGACGUGUGGGAAGGCUCAUGUAGACAGAAGUUAUAAUAGGAGGCAGACUGACUCACAAAGGAAUGAAGAGUGCAAAAAAUGUAUAGAUGAAAAAAAAAGAAACAACCCCCCCCC
rnacentral:lncRNA from 1 species